GAUGAACGCUGGCGGCGUGCCUAAUACAUGCAAGUCGAGUGAACGGACGAGAAGCUUGCUUCUCUGAUGUUAGCGGCGGACGGGUGAGUAACACGUGGAUAACCUACCUAUAAGACUGGGAUAACUUCGGGAAACCGGAGCUAAUACCGGAUGAUAUUUUGAACCGCAUGGUUCAAAAGUGAAAGACGGUCUUGCUGUCACUUAUAGAUGGAUCCGCGCUGCAUUAGCUAGUUGGUAAGGUAACGGCUUACCAAGGCAACGAUGCAUAGCCGACCUGAGAGGGUGAUCGGCCACACUGGAGCUGAGACACGGUCCAGACUCCUACGGGAGGCAGCAGUAGGGAAUCUUCCGCAAAGGGCGAAAGCCUGACGGAGCAACGCCGCGUGAGUGAUGAAGGUCUUCGGAUCGUAAAACUCUGUUAUUAGGGAAGAACAUAUGUGUAAGUAACUGUGCACAUCUUGACGGUACCUAAUCAGAAAGCCACGGCUAACUACGUG
rnacentral:rRNA from 1 species